rnacentral:rRNA from 1 species
AGAGUUUGAUUCUGGCUCAGAAUGAACGCUGGCGGCGUGCCUAACACAUGCAAGUCGCACGAGAAAGGCUGGGUUUCGGCUUGGCCGAGUAAAGUGGCGCACGGGUGAGUAACGCGUGGGUGACCUACCCUCGAAUCUGGGAUAACCUCGCGAAAGCGGGGCUAAUACCGGAUACGUCCCUUCGGGGAGAAAGCCGGCCUCUCGAAGAAGCUGGUGUUCGGGGAUGGGCCCGCGUCCUAUCAGCUAGUUGGUAGGGUAACGGCCUACCAAGGCGACGACGGGUAGCUGGUCUGAGAGGAUGAUCAGCCACACUGGCACUGGAACACGGGCCAGACUCCUACGGGAGGCAGCAGUGAGGAAUUUUGCGCAAUGGGAGCAAUCCUGACGCAGCAACGCCGCGUGGGUGAAGAAGGCCUUCGGGUCGUAAAGCCCUGUCAGGAGGGAAGAACCUCGCUGGGGCGAAUAGCCUUGGCGACUGACGGUACCUCCAGAGGAAGCACCGGCUAACUCCGUGCCAGCAGCCGCGGUAAUACGGAGGGUGCGAGCGUUAUUCGGAAUUACUGGGCGUAAAGCGCGUGUAGGCGGCAGGGCAAGUCUGGUGUGAAAGCCCGGGGCUCAACCCCGGAAGUGCAUUGGAAACUGCUCUGCUUGAGUACCGGAGAGGAAGGGGGAAUUCCCGGUGUAGCGGUUGAAUGCGUAGAUAUCCGGAGGAAUACCAGUGGCCGAAGCGCCCUUUCGGACCGUUACUGAACGCUGAAACCCCAAAGCGGGGGGAGCAAACCGGAUUAUAUACCCUGGUAGUCCCCCCCGUAAACUAAGGGGCCCAAGGUGUC